CCGGCCGGGCGGCGGCAGAGAAACGUCGGUUACAGUAGGGUCCCUGGUGAAGCCGAGAUGCCGUCUAAGGGAAAGGACAAAAAGAAAGGCAAGAACAAAGGCAAAGACAAGAAGAAGAUAAUAAAAUCUGAUGAAUCUGCAGUGGACAGAGCCAAGGCCAGUGCCUCCCUCUGGGAGGCCAGGCUGGAAGUCACAGAACUCUCGAGGAUUGAGUAUCGUGAUACUUCGCGGAGACUGGCAAAAAGUAAUGAGGAGUUAAAGAAACAGCAGUAUAAAAUGGAGAAAGACACAAUGUCUGUAUUAAGUUACCUGAAGAAGCAGGAUCAGGAGAAAGAUAAUAUGAUUGAAAAACUAAAACAGCAAUUGAAUGAAACAAAGGAAAAAGCCAAAGAGGAGAAUGAGAAAUUGGAACAAAAGUAUAUUCUGCAAAUAAAUGAGCUGGAGGGAGAGUUCCAGCAAAAAGCCAAAGAAAUUGGCAUGAUUCAGACAGAGCUGAAAACAAUAAAACAAUUCCAGAAGAGAAAAAUCCAAGUGGAGAAAGAAUUAGAUGACCUCAAGGAGAAUUUAAGGAACAUGGAGCGGAAACAUCAGGAGACUCUUAGAAGAUUGGAGGGCAAGUUUUUUGAAGAAAAGCAUCGACUAGAACAAGAGGCUGAAAAGAAGAUAAUAAUGCUGGCAGAGAGAGCUCACCAUGAAGCUAUCGCGCAACUGAACCAUGCUGGAAGAGCCGUUUUUAAAGAGAAUGUUUAUCUCCAGAAAGCCCUCGCAUACCACCUGAAGGAAGCUGACGCUCUACAAAAAAACUCCCAGAAGUUGCAAGAGACUCAAACUUUCCUUUUACAUCAGAAGGAAAUCAAUGAUCUGUUGGUUAAGGAAAAGAUAAUGCAGUUUACCCAGCAGAGAUUACAAAUCCAAACUCUUCAGAAAAAGGUGGUAAGCUUGGAGACUGCCCUGAGUUGUAUGACCAGAGAGUUUGAGGCUGAAGUUCUAAAAAUGCAGCAACAGGCAAUGAUAGAGAACCAAGCAGGUCAGGUUGAAAUUGACAAGCUGCAACAUCUUCUCCAGAUGAAGGACAGGGAAAUGAACCGAGUGAAGAAGCUGGCCAAGAACAUACUGGAUGAGAGAACAGAAGUGGAAAGUUUCUUUUUAGAUGCUCUGCACCAAGUGAAGCAACAGAUCCUACUUGGCAGGAAGCAUUACAAAAAGGUAGCACAAGCUGCUUUCAAUUUUAAAAUGAGAGAGGCAUGUGCAGGAAGAACAGAAUAUCCCCAGAUCCGAACGUUCGAUGGCAAAGAGCACAGCACCAAUAGCAUAACUCAAGAUCUUAUGGAGGCUGAGAAAUGGACGGAUAUUCAAGGAAAUGUGGAUAUUGAAGAUUUGACCUGGGAGCAAAAGGAGAAAGUCUUGCGAUUGCUCUUUGCAAAAAUGAAUGGUUUUGUUUCCAGAAAAUAUAGCCAGAGCUCUAAGCCUUCAGUUCCAGACUAUGUUGUUGCUGAUGAUGGAGAAACAAAGGAAUUUGGGGAUGACAGUAAGCUUCAAGAUCAAACCUUCAUCACCCAGCAAGUACCAAUCUCAGACUCUUCUGGUGAACUGAUGAUACCCAAUAUUCAGAAAGAAUCACAAGAGUCUGACAUACCUGGGGACAGUACCUGACAUAGAAAGAGAUACCAAGACUUAUGUCCUGAAUUCUCAGCACCAUCAGUCACUAGUUGGGAGAUACUGGAUUGGCUUAAGUGUCAGGUCAAUUCGAAAGUUUCUUCAAAUGAAUCAGAAAAUAGUGUCUGUUUCCAAAAUAAAGUGCAUAGAAAGGGA